AGCUUUUUAGGUUAAUUAGACCGAUAAGUUUACACCUUGUAAGUAUAGAAAUUUU
rnacentral:tRNA from 1 species